rnacentral:rRNA from 1 species
GGGGGAUAUUGGGCAAUGGGGGAAACCCUGACCCAGCAACGCCGCGUGAGGGAUGACGGUUUUCGGAUUGUAAACCUCUGUCCUCUGUGAAGAUAGUGACGGUAGCAGAGGAGGAAGCUCCGGCUAACUACGUGCCAGCAGCCGCGGUAAUACGUAGGGAGCAAGCGUUGUCCGGAUUUACUGGGUGUAAAGGGUGCGUAGGCGGAUUGGCAAGUCAGAAGUGAAAUCCAUGGGCUUAACCCAUGAACUGCUUUUGAAACUGUUAGUCUUGAGUGAAGUAGAGGUAGGCGGAAUUCCCGGUGUAGCGGUGAAAUGCGUAGAGAUCGGGAGGAACACCAGUGGCGAAGGCGGCCUACUGGGCUUUAACUGACGCUGAGGCACGAAAGUGUGGGUAGCAAACAGGAUUAGAUACCCUGGUAGUCCACACUGUAAACGAUGAUUACUAGGUGUGGGGGGUCUAACCCCCUCCGUGCCGGAGUUAACACAAUAAGUAAUCCACCUGGGGAGUACGACCGCAAGGUUGAAACUCAAAGGAAUUGACGGGGGCCCGCACAAGCAGUGGAGUAUGUGGUUUAAUUCGACGCAACGCGAAGAACCUUACCAGGUCUUGACAUCCAACUAACGAAGCAGAGAUGCAUUAGGUGCCUUUCGGGGAAAGUUGAGACAGGUGGUGCAUGGUUGUCGUCAGCUCGUGUCGUGAGAUGUUGGGUUAAGUCCCGCAACGAGCGCAACCCUUGUGAUUAGUUGCUACGCAAGAGCACUCUAAUCAGACUGCCGUUGACAAAACGGAGGAAGGUGGGG